GAUGAACGCUGGCGGCGUGCCUAAUACAUGCAAGUCGAGCGGUAAGGUUCUCACUCUGUACUUAAUUUCUUAAGUAUGGUGUGAGAAUACACGAGCGGCGGACGGCUGAGUAACGCGUAGGAAUGUACCCCAAACUGAGGGAUAAGCACCAGAAAUGGUGUCUAAUACCGCAUGUUAUCUUCGGAUUAAAGCUCUCGAGCGGUUUGGGAACAGCCUGCGUAUGAUUAGCUUGUUGGUGAGGUAAUAGCUCACCAAGGCGACGAUCAUUAGCUGGUCUGAGAGGAUGAUCAGCCAGACUGGGACUGAGACACGGCCCAGACUCCUACGGGAGGCAGCAGUAGGGAAUUUUCCACAAUGGGCGAAGCCUGAUGGAGCAACGCCGCGUGCAGGAU
rnacentral:rRNA from 1 species